GACGGAGGAUGCAAGCGUUAUCCGGAAUGAUUGGGCGUAAAGCGUCCGCAGGUGGCAGUUCAAGUCUGCUGUCAAAGACCGGGGCUUAACUUCGGAAAGGCAGUGGAAACUGAACAGCUAGAGUAUGGUAGGGGCAGAGGGAAUUCCCGGUGUAGUGGUGAAAUGCGUAGAUAUCGGGAGGAACACCAGUGGCGAAGGCGACUACCUGGCCUGUUCUUGACGCUGAGGCGCGAAAGCUAGGGGAGCAAACGGGG
rnacentral:rRNA from 1 species